rnacentral:misc_RNA from 1 species
GAUGAAGAACGUAGCAAAAUGCGAUAAGUAAUGUGAAUUGCAGAAUUCAGUGAAUCAUCGAAUCUUUGAACGCACAUUGCGCCCGCCAGUAUUCUGGCGGGCAUGCCUGUUCGAGCGUCAUUUCAACCCUCAAGCCCUCGGGUUUGGUGUUGGGGAUCGGCGAGCCUUUCUGGCAAGCCGGCCCCGAAAUCUAGUGGCGGUCUCGCUGCAGCCUCCAUUGCGUAGUAGUAAAACCCUCGCAACUGGAACGCGGCGCGGCCAAGCCGUUAAACCCCCAACUUCUGAAUGUUGACCUCGGAUCAGGUAGGAAUACCCGCUGAACUUAAGCAUAUCAUAAGCGGAGGA